UUAAAAUGUGCAAUGUAAUAUUAUGGAUGACGUAGAGGUUUUAACCCUUUAACUCCCAUUGGCUUCCAGCCAUCAUGGGUUAUGAGCUAUUACAUCAUGCUCUACAAAUAUGAUAAGGGUGAUCAUAAAAAAGUAAAGUUUACAAAAUAAAGUUGGGAAGAUUAUUUUGGGGUGUUUUUAGAUCUAAUCUUAACAGCAGUCUAAUGUAGCAUGCAAGAGGUGGGCCCAAGGUGGUCCUUUUACUUUGAUUUAUAAUUUGCAUAUCCCAGGGAAUUUUAUUAAUAUUUGUAAAUGACUUUGUACAAUCCUCUGAAGUGAGCCUAAAUUUAUUUCUGUUAAUAGUUUGUCUGAGGUCACCAAACAAGGCGAGAGAUUUAACUAAGAGCAAAUUUGACAACCUUUGUAAGGAAACUGCAGUGCAAAGCAAUGAAUUGGCAUCCUCACUUGAUGUAAUGAAAUCUGCAGCAAGGAAGUUCAUUGAUUUUGUGAACAAUGGUCCCUAGCCUUACCAUG